AGAGUUUGAUCAUGGCUCAGAUUGAACGCUGGCGGCAGGCCUAACACAUGCAAGUCGAACGGUAACAGGAAGCAGCUUGCUGUUUUGCUGACGAGUGGCGGACGGGUGAGUAAUGUCUGGGAAACUGCCUGAUGGAGGGGGAUAACUACUGGAAACGGUAGCUAAUACCGCAUAACGUCGCAAGACCAAAGAGGGGGACCUUAGGGCCUCUUGCCAUCGGAUGUGCCCAGAUGGGAUUAGCUAGUAGGUGGGGUAACGGCUCACCUAGGCGACGAUCCCUAGCUGGUCUGAGAGGAUGACCAGCCACACUGGAACUGAGACACGGUCCAGACUCCUACGGGAGGCAGCAGUGGGGAAUAUUGCACAAUGGGCGCAAGCCUGAUGCAGCCAUGCCGCGUGUAUGAAGAAGGCCUUCGGGUUGUAAAGUACUUUCAGCGGGGAGGAAGGGAGUAAAGUUAAUACCUUUGCUCAUUGACGUUACCCGCAGAAGAAGCACCGGCUAACUCCGUGCCAGCAGCCGCGGUAAUACGGAGGGUGCAAGCGUUAAUCGGAAUUACUGGGCGUAAAGCGCACGCAGGCGGUUUGUUAAGUCAGAUGUGAAAUCCCCGGGCUCAACCUGGGAACUGCAUCUGAUACUGGCAAGCUUGAGUCUCGUAGAGGGGGGUAGAAUUCCAGGUGUAGCGGUGAAAUGCGUAGAGAUCUGGAGGAAUACCGGUGGCGAAGGCGGCCCCUGGACGAAGACUGACGCUCAGGUGCGAAAGCGUGGGGAGCAAACAGGAUUAGAUACCCUGGUAGUCCACGCCGUAAACGAUGUCGACUUGGAGGUUGUGCCCUUGAGGCGUGGCUUCCGGAGCUAACGCGUUAAGUCGACCGCCUGGGGAGUACGGCCGCAAGGUUAAAACUCAAAUGAAUUGACGGGGGCCCGCACAAGCGGUGGAGCAUGUGGUUUAAUUCGAUGCAACGCGAAGAACCUUACCUGGUCUUGACAUCCACGGAAGUUUUCAGAGAUGAGAAUGUGCCUUCGGGAACCGUGAGACAGGUGCUGCAUGGCUGUCGUCAGCUCGUGUUGUGAAAUGUUGGGUUAAGUCCCGCAACGAGCGCAACCCUUAUCCUUUGUUGCCAGCGGUCCGGCCGGGAACUCAAAGGAGACUGCCAGUGAUAAACUGGAGGAAGGUGGGGAUGACGUCAAGUCAUCAUGGCCCUUACGACCAGGGCUACACACGUGCUACAAUGGCGCAUACAAAGAGAAGCGACCUCGCGAGAGCAAGCGGACCUCAUAAAGUGCGUCGUAGUCCGGAUUGGAGUCUGCAACUCGACUCCAUGAAGUCGGAAUCGCUAGUAAUCGUGGAUCAGAAUGCCACGGUGAAUACGUUCCCGGGCCUUGUACACACCGCCCGUCACACCAUGGGAGUGGGUUGCAAAAGAAGUAGGUAGCUUAACCUUCGGGAGGGCGCUUACCACUUUGUGAUUCAUGACUGGGGUGAAGUCGUAACAAGGUAACCGUAGGGGAACCUGCGGUUGGAUCACCU
rnacentral:rRNA from 1 species